GAACGGAAGAGGUAUACUGUUUAGUUUAAUGGCUUGUCUUCUUGCGAGAACAAUGGCUUUCCUCAUUUGCCUAGCUCUUCUUUGUUCUCCUGUGACCAUUAUUGUGUUAAGAAUGUGUAUGUUACGUUUUGUGUUGUUGUUGCGGUCAAUAUAAAAUGAGAAGCAAACCUUUACGGUCUGAUAUUGCGGAGACAGAUGUGUUUAUCAACGGUGGAGGCCCUGCUAAUAUAAAUCCCAUUUUGAUUAGAUGAUAAGAAGAUGUAAAUGGGCAGCUGUAAGGAAUCGGAGUUUGAUGAUAAACCUCUCUGCUUGAAGGUAUGUUGGUUAUCUCCUUUAAAUCGUUUGUUGACACCAUCUGAUGUGGGAUUGAUCGGUUUUCUUUUCAUUGGAUUUGCACCUUUUUCUGUCUCUCUUUCGUUGGAACUUUCACAGUAAUGGUUGAUAUGGUAACUGUUUGAUACUUUGAUAGUUGGCUGUCAGUAGAGUGUGUGGUGACGUUCUAGGUUCGUUUAUGUUGUUAAACGUACAAACGUUUUCUCAUUAACGAAGACAGAACUUAGGCCAUUAAGGUGAAGAUUUGAUGCAAUUGGACCUGUUUCAUGUGCCAUGAAGUGUUUCCUGGAUAACAUUGGAGAAUGUGAUUCCAGUUUUAUGCCUGUUCUCAGAAAUGUGUAUAUGUUUCUCAUCUGGAUCUUAUAGACUUUGGCUUGGGAUUGAAAUUUUUCCUUUUUGUCUAUGAUUGGAUGUUAAUAGGAACGUAUACGGUAUAUUUGUGUUGUAUAAUUUUCUAAUUCUAUUGGAAGUUGGGUUAGUCUGUG
rnacentral:lncRNA from 1 species